ACGGUAUGUCGAGACAUAAUUUUAAAUGAUAUUUAAAAGAAAACCGCAGAGAGUACAUCCGCGAAGAUUUUGUUUUCCAGGACGAAUGUCUUGAAGAAUAAUUUUUAAUAAGCAGUUUUACUAAACAACCUGCAAAAGGAGUAAAUUUCCUUUGGACUCCAUGUGCACACGGACAGCUGUGGACACGUUUAUCUAGAGAAAAGUUAUAUAUUAUACGAAGUUCCCUAUCCUGUGCAGCCGGAUUGAUGUAAAAUGACGUUUGGCCAAGGAAG